rnacentral:rRNA from 1 species
GGCCUGCCCAAUGAAUUUUAAAUGGCCGCGGUAAUUUGACCGUGCAAAGGUAGCAUAAUCAUUAGUUUUUUAAUUGAAAGCUGGAAUGAAAGGUUGGAUGAGAAAAUAACUGUCUCUGUUUAAUUUAGUUAGAACUUUAUUUUUAAGUAAAAAAGCUUAAAUAUGUAUAAAAGACGAGAAGACCCUAUAGAGUUUUAAUUUAGUUGGGGUGAUUGAAAAAUUAGUUAAACUUUUUUUAGUUUUAAAUCAUUAAUUUAUGUAUAAGUGAUCCUUUAAUAAAGAUUAAAAGAAUAAAUUACCUUAGGGAUAACAGCGUAAUUCUUUUAAAGAGUUCAAAUCGAAAAAAGAGAUUGCGACCUCGAUGUUGGAUUAAAAUAAAAAUUUGGUGUAGGAGCUGAA